GACGAACGCUGGCGGCGUGCCUAAUACAUGCCAGUAGAACGCUGAAGGAAGGAGCUUGCUCUUUCUGGAUGAGUUGCGAACGGGUGAGUAACGCGUAGGUAACCUGCCUGGUAGCGGGGGAUAACUAUUGGAAACGAUAGCUAAUACCGCAUAAAAUUGAUUAUUGCAUGAUAGUCAAUUAAAAGGUGCAACUGCACCACUACCAGAUGGACCUGCGUUGUAUUAGCUAGUUGGUGGGGUAACGGCUCACCAAGGCGACGAUACAUAGCCGACCUGAGAGGGUGAUCGGCCACACUGGGACUGAGACACGGCCCAGACUCCUACGGGAGGCAGCAGUAGGGAAUCUUCGGCAAUGGACGGAAGUCUGACCGAGCAACGCCGCGUGAGUGAAGAAGGUUUUCGGAUCGUAAAGCUCUGUUGUAAGAGAAGAACGAGUGUGAGAGUGGAAAGUUCACACUGUGACGGUAUCUUACCAGAAAGGGACGGCUAACUACGUG
rnacentral:rRNA from 1 species